rnacentral:lncRNA from 1 species
UUUUUUUUUUUUUUUUGCUUUUUAUUAAUUCUCUCAGAGGUGCUUUAAGCAGUCCAGUAUUUUAGCAAUAAUUACCAAGUGCUUGAACAGAAAACUAGGAAUUAUUAUUUUAAAUGGGCAUCAGUCAUGAACCCAGAAUCAUGCUCAUGGAAUUCAAUGGUCUUCCCAUGUUCCAGACCUUUCUAUAUAAGGCUGCACCUGCAGCAUGUGGAGGUUCCCGGGCUAGGGGUCCAAUCAGAGCUGAAGCCACCAGCCUACGCCACACCCACAGCAACGCAGGAUUAGAGCCGAGUCUGCAACCUACACCACAGCUCAUGGCAAUGCCGGAUCCUUAACCCACUAAGCAAGGCCUGGGAUUGAACCUGGGUCCUCAUGGAUAAGUCAGGUUUGUUAACCACUGAGCCACUACAGGAACUCUUUUUUUUUUUCCCCCAGACCAUUCUUAAGUAGUUGGCUUUUGAGAACAGUGGAAUAGCCUUUUGAAGCCUCAGUGGCAAAGCCAGCGAGGUGGCAACAGGAAUCUGUGUAUGCUCUGAUGUGGUGUCCAGCAUAGGGUGCUGUUCCUCCCUCUCAUACCCCAGAUUCACAGGUCCAGGAAUCAAGGGGUGGAAAUGGGAGUGGCAAACUACUCUAGCAAAGUGAACCCCUAGCAAAGUUCUGUUUUCUGUUUCUGAGACCUUAGUUCUGUUGGUGUAGAUAUUUUAGUUCCAGAGAGAGGAACGCUUCCACCAAGCAACUCGGAGGUGAUUCCAUUGAAACAGAAGUUAAGAUUCCCAUCAGGUUCUUUUGGGCUCCUCUUAACACUGAAUCAACAGGCUAACAGUAAAAGAGAAAUACUGUGCUGGCUGUGCUGACUGGUCCUGACUACCAAGAGGAAAUUAAAUUACUCCUCCACAAUGAAGGUAAGAGAGAGUGUGUCUGGAUACAGGAAAUCCCUCGGGGGGUCUCUUAGGGUUACCAUGUCCUCUGAUUUGAUUAAGGUCAAUGGAAAACUAUAACAACCCAAAUCAGGUGGAAAGAAUAAUGGCACAAAGUCUUCUGCAAUGAAGGUUUGGCUCAUCCCACCAGGUAUAGACCAUGACUGGUUGAGGUGCUUGAUGAAGGCAAAGGGAACACAGAAUGGAUAGUGGAAGAAGAUAAUUAUAAAUACUAUGACUAUAUGAUCAAAUAUAGAAACUAGGAAAUAAAUAUUUCUUCCUUAUUUUGUUAUGCAUAUAUAUAUAUAUAUACUUGCUUUAUAUAUUUUUUAUAUUUAGAUUUAAACCAAAUAUAUAAAGUUAUUUCCUUUGUUCACUUUGUUUUCUUUUCUCCCUUAUUCCUUUAUCCUGUAACAUAAGAUGUAUUGACAUUUUUUUUUCUUACAAAGUCUUUUUUUUUUUUUCAGGGCCACACCCACGGCAUAUGGAAGUCCCCAGGCUAGCAGUCGAAACGGAGCUGCAGCUGUUGGCAUACACCACACAGCAACGCCAGAUCAUUAACCCACUGAGCGAGGCCAGGGACCAAACUCAGGAGAGUUGUUUCAUGCUAGGCAGAAUUAUGACCUUGUUAUGGUCUUUAUUUAGACAUUAAAUGUGGUUUAAGGAGAUGCCUAUGGAUGCCAGGUUCCAGAGGGAUGGAUUUGUGACGGUUAACCUUACGUGUCAACUUGACUGGGCCAUGAAGUGCCCGGGUUAAACAUUAUCUCUGGGUUUAUCAGUGAUGGUCUUUCCACUUGAGGUUGUAUUUGAAUGAGUAAACUGAGUAAAGCAUGGUGUCCUCUCUGACACCGUGAAUAGGGAAAAAAAAAAGAGGAAGGGGAAUUAGCCCUCUCUGGUUGAUUAUUUGAACUGGGACCUGGGUCUUGUCCUGUCUUUGAUUGGACAUAAACCAUUAGACCUCCAGGUCUCAGGCCUCCCUGGGUCUCCAGCUUGCAGACAACAUAUGUUGAGAUUUCUCAGCCUCUAUAAUCAUGUGAGUUAAACCUUAUAAUAAAUCAUAUAUUAAAUUAUAUAAGAAAUUAUGUAUAUGACUCAUUAUAUCUCUACAUAUAUCCUAUGGGUUCUGUUUCUCUGGAGCACCAUAUUAUCAUGCACAGUAUCUUUUUCCCUUUUUUUAAAAAAUUUUUUUUUUACUUGUACACAUAUGUUUAAAGGGGCAUUACUCACAAUAGCCAAAAGUGGGGGGGGGGACCACAAACCUUUCAUCAACACAUAAAUGGACAAAAUGUGGUACAUCUAUACAUAACGUAGGUGUGAGUGUGUGUGUGUGCGUGUGUGUGUGUGUAAUAAUAAUGUAAUAGAACUGAGCCACAAAAAGAAAUGAUGUUCUGAAACACGCUACAACCUGGAUGACUCUUGAAAAUACUUUUUAGUUUUUCUUUUUAGGGCCAUGCCCAUGGCAUAUGGAGGUUCCCAGGCUAGGGGUCAAAUCAGAGCUGCAGCCGCCGACCUAAGCCACAACCACAGCAACGCUAGAUCUGAGCCGGGUCUGCAACCUACACCACAGCUCACGCAACACCAGAUCCUUAACCCACUGAGCAAGGCCAGGGAUCGAACCUGCAACCUCAUGGUUACUAGGCAGAUUUGUUUCAGCUGCACCACAAUGGAUACUCCUUGAAAACACUUUAUUUUUACUAAAUGAAAUAAGCCAGUUACAAAAGGACAAAUAUAGAAUCCCACUCAAUAUGAAAUAUCUAAUAGGCAAAU